UUGAUUGUUCAAUUUUUAUCAUUCCUCUAAGAGCCCUCUAGGAGAGGGAAUUUAUUAUUUAUUUCCUUUAUGAUGAAUAUUACAAACUGUUACAUACUUCAAUAUAUUUAGUUUAUUGAAUUGAUUGUUGCGUGUGUGGUUUGUGGGUUGGAGGUUUCAAACUUCAGGUAAUGAGAUACUACUGCUAAGAACCCAGAAAUAGAGUUCAAAGGAACAAAAAGCAAGAAACCUUAGUAAAUAAGACACAUUUGAUCCUGUAGCUCCCACAACACUUUAACCUUGAAGGAGUAUUCCACGCUGAUAUAUUUGAAUACACAUACUCAGUUUUUUCAGGGAGCCACAGGUUACAAAAGCAAAAAAUAUACAUAUAUGCAAUAUGUUUUGUACUGUACACGGGGUCCUGGCAGAAACCACGAGUCGUUGAAUAAUUCCAGAGGCCCUGAGGACUCAGUUGAGGAAGGAAAGGUUAGUUCCCAGGCAGAGGCAUCAGUAGUGAUGAAAGGCAACCCCCCACACCUGAGAAUAGUCAAAGGUACUCCCAGCUCAAAGUAAUAAUUCCAAACAGACAAUAAUAAUUCCACUUAGCGUAAUCCUUAGGCAGUAAGCAGACGAGCAGGGAACAAACCAGUUCCCAGGCAAACCGUAGAACUCCAGCAGCCAUGGCAGGAACCAAAGGACGUCCAGACCCAAAGGAACCGGAACCACAAGCAGCAGGCAGUAGAAUCAGGUGAUGAAGCAGAGAGGUUUUCCCAGGGAGCGAGAACCACUGACGAAACAGCAGAGGAGAGAGCACACACACAGGACACUUGAAUGUAGACACACAUAGAUUACAUCUGAUGUAAAAUGACAAAUAAAAAGAAACCUAGCACUAUAUGUACCUACAUGUGCUAUGUGAAGCAGAUUAUGUGAACAGAGUUCAGGUGAAAGAAAUGGAUGCAGUAAACUACGUGUGCUGGAAAAGUGUUGCUAAAAGAACACAAUUAACAAAACCCUCUAAUAUAUGUAAGGGAAAAUGAACACUUAUGAGCAAAAAUGUUAUCAAAAGAGAAGGGCAAAAUAAUCUGUAGCCCGUAAGUGAUCAAAAUUUAAAUAAAGGAGAUCAUAAUAGAUAUGUCAUAAAUAAAUCAGCUGUAAGGGAAUAAUGCAGAAAUGUAUAUAUAUGAAUAUAUUUUUAAAAGAAGUAAUAAACUAAAGAAGAAAAAAAACACUAGGAUGUAAAUCAGUGUUGUUAGUAAUGAAACCUAAAUUGUGGUUCUCGGAUUUUAACAAGACACAAGAGAAUUAGACAAGCUUGUCCAUAAAACAGCGCAGGGCUUCAUUUUUACAGUGUUAUACAACCAAGGUUGUCUGGGACAGCAAGAUGCUCAGCUUUCAGCAGCACCUCCUCGUAAAGCCUUCCCUCACAUCAAAAUGAGAGACCAUUUGUACACUUUGCUGACGUCAUGUCAGGAUCUGGGGUGAGUCUGCACAUUCAUCUAAUCGCCUUAAGUCGUUGCAGGUGGGCAGCUCCGGAGAGCGGCCAGCUGCGGUGAUUUUCCUCAUUGACUACCUGUGUUUAUAAGGAGCUGGAGAUCACUUCACCUCGCCGGAAGAUUACUCACUUUGGGAAUUCUCACCACGAACCUACUCUACAAUAACCUGGUUUUCAUCUCCAAGCCUGAUCUCCCUCCUCACCCGAACGGACCCGCUCUCCCUCUGCUCACCUCCCUUGGAUUUUGGAUUCUCACUGACGUUGCUCACCCCAGUCCUGGCUACCCUCCCAAGCUCUGGAUUUCAGUCCCCACAACCCAGCCCCGGAGCUGUGCUCAACAUCACCGCCACGUCUGGCGGUGCACCUUUAGUUCUCCUUCAAAAUAAAACAUUUAUUUUUUUUCCUACCUACAUCUCCUAGUGUGAAUUCUGCAUGUCUUGGGUCAGGAAACUCCCCUCAGUAAUGACACGUCAGUCU